GGGGAGAGGAAGAAAGCUACCUCCCUCCGUGCCCUCCCCGCAAAAUAAAGCCUCAGGAAAAUAAAUUGAAACGGGGAGUCAAAGGGACUAGUUCCAACAGAGCCCAGCAAAGCAGAGAAACCAGUUUGUGGGGGUGGAGGGCAGGCCUGGCCCCGGGGGCUGAAGAGGCACGCGGGCAAGGCCAGAGGUGGGGUCGAGGUGAAGCCCCAAACCUAGGCCCACGAUUCGGCCUCAUCUGCGUGGAGGGACACCAGGUGUAAUCGUCAGGUGCUGGCAGUCAUGUGACAACCGUCUUGGCCUUUGGCCGGGACAGAAUGUCUGGCUGGGUUGCUUGUUGGUGACUGGGAGGUGUGGCAGCUCACUGGACCGCACUUCAGGAAUUCAGUCGCUGAGGGAUCCGUGGCCCCCUGGAUCUGGAACACCAGAGGGGCCCAGAGGGGCCGGCGGUGUCAGUCGUAGGGCACACCCGGGCUCGAACACGCUCUCUCCCAUCCGGGCCUGCGCUGAAGUCUGCAUGGCCCCAAAUCCAGCUACUUGGCUCUGGCCCUUAGCUGACAGCUGGACUCUGCUGCCCCUGAAGGUCACCUCUGGGCACAGGGGGAGACUGCCCACUUGCCUCUCAAAGGGAGUGAGUCUGAGUUACACACUGGAAACGAGACUGACGAUCUCAAUCCAGUGAGAUCGUCACUGGAUUCCCAAGACUUGUUUCACACACACACACAGAUGUGAAAAUACUAAUUUUUUUGUAUAUUGUUUGCAUGUUGAAAUGAUAUUUGGAUAUAUUGGGUUAAUUUCCUGUGUUUCUUCUUACAAUUUUAAUACAGCUACUGGAAAAUCUAACAGUAGAUAUGUGCCUUCUGGUCCAUUUCUAUCUAGAUGGUUCUGGUCUAGAUUAUUUGCUUAUUUAUUAUUUAUUGUUGCCCCCACUCCCACCCCACAUCUCUCUUGGA